GACGGAGGAUGCAAGCGUUAUCCGGAAUGAUUGGGCGUAAAGCGUCCGCAGGUGGCAGUUCAAGUCUGCUGUCAAAGACCGGGGCUUAACUUCGGAAAGGCAGUGGAAACUGAACAGCUAGAGUAUGGUAGGGGCAGAGGGAAUUCCUGGUGUAGCGGUGAAAUGCGUAGAGAUCAGGAGGAACACCGGUGGCGAAGGCGGAUCUCUGGGCCUUGCCUGACGCUGAGGCGCGAAAGCUAGGGAGCAAACAGG
rnacentral:rRNA from 1 species